rnacentral:rRNA from 1 species
AUUGAACGCUGGCGGCAUGCCUUACACAUGCAAGUCGAACGGCAGCACGGGGCAACCUGGUGGCGAGUGGCGAACGGGUGAGUAAUGCAUCGGAACGUACCCGGAAGAGGGGGAUAACGUAGCGAAAGAUACGCUAAUACCGCAUAUUCUGUGAGCAGGAAAGAGGGGGAUCUUCGGACCUCUUGCUUUCGGAGCGGCCGAUGUCAGAUUAGCUAGUUGGUGAGGUAAAGGCUCACCAAGGCGACGAUCUGUAGCGGGUCUGAGAGGAUGAUCCAGCACAAGGAGAAUGAGAAACGGCACAGACUCCUAUGGGAGGCAGCAGUGGGGAAUUUUGGACAAUGGGGGCAAGAUUGAUCCAGCCAUGCCGGGUGAGUGAAGAAGGUCUUCGGGUUGAAGAGCUAUUUCGGCCGGGAAGAAAUCGCGUGAGUUAAUACCUGCAUUAAUUGACAGUACCUCAAGAAUAAGCACCGGCAAACUCUGUGCCAGCAGCCGCCGUAA